rnacentral:rRNA from 1 species
GACGAACGCUGGCGGCGUGCUUAACACAUGCAAGUCGAACGGAAAGGCCCUGCUUUUGUGGGGUGCUCGAGUGGCGAACGGGUGAGUAACACGUGAGUAACCUGCCCUUGACUUUGGGAUAACUUCAGGAAACUGGGGCUAAUACCGGAUAGGAGCUCCUGCUGCAUGGUGGGGGUUGGAAAGUUUCGGCGGUUGGGGAUGGACUCUCGGCUUAUCAGCUUGUUGGUGGGGUAGUGGCUUACCAAGGCUUUGACGGGUAGCCGGCCUGAGAGGGUGACCGGCCACAAUGGGACUGAGAUACGGCCCAGACUCCUACGGGAGGCAGCAGUGGGGAAUAUUACACAAUGGGCGGAAGCCUGAUGCAGCAACGCCGCGUGCGGGAUGACGGCCUUCGGGUUGUAAACCGCUUUAGCCUGUGACGAAGCGUGAGUGACGGUAAUGGGUAAAGAAGCACCGGCUAACUACGUG